rnacentral:rRNA from 1 species
UUUUCCGCAAUGGGCGAGAGCCUGACGGAGCAACGCCGCGUGAGGGAGGAAGGCCUGUGGGUCGUAAACCUCUUUUCUCAGGGAAGAAGUACUGACGGUACCUGAGGAAUCAGCAUCGGCUAACUCCGUGCCAGCAGCCGCGGUAAGACGGAGGAUGCAAGCGUUAUCCGGAAUUAUUGGGCGUAAAGCGUCCGUAGGUGGUAUAGAAAGUCUGUUGUUAAAUCCCACAGCUCAACUGUGGAUCGGCAAUGGAAACUACUAAACUUGAGUGUGGUAGGGGUAGAGGGAAUUCCUAGUGUAGCGGUGAAAUGCGUAGAUAUUAGGAAGAACACCAGUGGCGAAGGCGCUCUACUGGGCCAUAACUGACACUGAUGGACGAAAGCUAGGGGAGCGAAAGGGAUUAGAUU